AGGAUGAACGCUGGCGGCGUGCUUAACACAUGCAAGUCGAACGAUGAACUGGAGCUUGCUCCGGGGAUUAGUGGCGAACGGGUGAGUAACACGUGAGUAACCUGCCCUUGACUCUGGGAUAAGCACUGGAAACGGUGUCUAAUACCGGAUAUGACCUUCAGCCGCGUGGCUAGGGGUGAAAGAUUUUUGGUCAAGGAUGGACUCGCGGCCUAUCAGGUAGUUGGUGACGGUAAUGGCUCACCAAAGCCGGACGACGGGUAAGCCCGCCUAGGAGACGGGUGACCGGCCACACUGGGGACUGAGACACCGGCCCAGACGCCCUACGGGGAGGACAGUCGAGUGGGGGAAAUAUUCGGACAACGUAAAUGGGGACGAAAAGCCU
rnacentral:rRNA from 1 species